rnacentral:rRNA from 1 species
GGGGCAGGGUGAGUCGACCCCUAAGGCGAGGCCGAAAGGCGUAGUCGAUGGGAAACAGGUUAAUAUUCCUGUACUUGGUGUUACUGCGAAGGGGGGACGGAGAAGGCUAUGUUGGCCGGGCGACGGUUGUCCCGGUUUAAGCGUGUAGGCUGGUUUUCCAGGCAAAUCCGGAAAAUCAAGGCUGAGGCGUGAUGACGAGGCACUACGGUGCUGAAGCAACAAAUGCCCUGCUUCCAGGAAAAGCCUCUAAGCAUCAGGUAACAUCAAAUCGUACCCCAAACCGACACAGGUGGUCAGGUAGAGAAUACCAAGGCGCUUGAGAGAACUCGGGUGAAGGAACUAGGCAAAAUGGUGCCGUAACUUCGGGAGAAGGCACGCUGAUAUGUAGGUGAAGUCCCUCGCGGAUGGAGCUGAAAUCAGUCGAAGAUACCAGCUGGCUGCAACUGUUUAUUAAAAACACAGCACUGUGCAAACACGAAAGUGGACGUAUACGGUGUGACGCCUGCCCGGUGCCGGAAGGUUAAUUGAUGGGGUCAGCGCAAGCGAAGCUCUUGAUCGAAGCCCCGGUAAACGGCGGCCGUAACUAUAACGGUCCUAAGGUAGCGAAAUUCCUUGUCGGGUAAGUUCCGACCUGCACGAAUGGCGUAAUGAUGGCCAGGCUGUCUCCACCCGAGACUCAGUGAAAUUGAACUCGCUGUGAAGAUGCAGUGUACCCGCGGCAAGACGGAAAGACCCCGUGAACCUUUACUAUAGCUUGACACUGAACAUUGAGCCUUGAUGUGUAGGAUAGGUGGGAGGCUUUGAAGUGUGGACGCCAGUCUGCAUGGAGCCGACCUUGAAAUACCACCCUUUAAUGUUUGAUGUUCUAACGUGGACCCGUGAUCCGGGUUGCGGACAGUGUCUGGUGGGUAGUUUGACUGGGGCGGUCUCCUCCUAAAGAGUAACGGAGGAGCACGAAGGUUGGCUAAUCCUGGUCGGACAUCAGGAGGUUAGUGCAAUGGCAUAAGCCAGCUUGACUGCGAGCGUGACGGCGCGAGCAGGUGCGAAAGCAGGUCAUAGUGAUCCGGUGGUUCUGAAUGGAAGGGCCAUCGCUCAACGGAUAAAAGGUACUCCGGGGAUAACAGGCUGAUACCGCCCAAGAGUUCAUAUCGACGGCGGUGUUUGGCACCUCGAUGUCGGCUCAUCACAUCCUGGGGCUGAAGUAGGUCCCAAGGGUAUGGCUGUUCGCCAUUUAAAGUGGUACGCGAGCUGGGUUUAGAACGUCGUGAGACAGUUCGGUCCCUAUCUGCCGUGGGCGCUGGAGAACUGAGGGGGGCUGCUCCUAGUACGAGAGGACCGGAGUGGACGCAUCACUGGUGUUCGGGUUGUCAUGCCAAUGGCACUGCCCGGUAGCUAAAUGCGGAAGAGAUAAGUGCUGAAAGCAUCUAAGCACGAAACUUGCCCCGAGAUGAGUUCUCCCUGACCCUUUAAGGGUCCUGAAGGAACGUUGAAGACGACGACGUUGAUAGGCCGGGUGUGUAAGCGCAGCGAUGCGUUGAGCUAACCGGUACUAAUGAACCGUGAGGCUUAACCUUACAACGCCGAAGGUGUUU